rfam:Helicosporidium sp. ATCC 50920 contig-456, whole genome shotgun sequence.
GUCGCUGUGGUUUAAUGGUUAGAAUCGCCGCCUGUCACGCGGUGGAUCCGGGUUCGAUUCCCGGCAGUGGCG